rnacentral:lncRNA from 1 species
UGUGCCUGUGGGUCUUCGUGGAGGAGGAACACGUGUGGUGAAGAGGCCGGGGGAACCUCGGAUGCCCUGGGCAGGCGGAGUAAGGCUUACAGACUGGAGGCUCACAGACAGAAAUGUUUCAGCAUUAAAAUUUCUUCUCCAUUGUGGACUAACUACUCUGGAUUCAACAGAGUCACCACGGUCUGCUUUACAACUACAGAAGAUAAAUUCUGGCUGUCCAAUUCUUGAACUAUUCUUUUCACGCUCCAGACUAUUUUAUAAGAAUGGUGCCAUCAUCAGUGGUCAAUAGGUUUUAGUGAGUGCCUACUGUAUGCAAAGAUUAGAAUUAAGUAUUUGGUCUGAAGUCACUGCAGUAUUGGGAAGCAGAAUAGCACUGAAUACAAGUGAGGGAGGCUGGGUAACUUGUUAGCCCUGGACCUUGGGACAAAUUGCUUAACCUCAGUUUUCUAAUCAGGAAAAUGGGAAUGAACAACAGAAUUUGCCUUCUAGGGUUUUUAGAAGGACUGAAUGAAAAGGACACAGCAUAACAAGUAGUAAACUCAGUUCAUAUUAAUUGUUGCUAUUACUAUCUUAAAUUAUAUUCAUCAUUUUGACAUGACAGUGAAAGAACACAAGGUUUUCUAAGUGGACUCCUAAGGCAGCUGG